ACAGAGGAGAGUUGACUGUAAACUGCUUGGUAAAUGACCACAAACCAGCUCAGACCGCCCCAGCUGCCAACACACUGACACCCCGGGGCUGGCCCACAAAGAAGGCAGGAUUGGGAGAGACUGGGCCAGCCCAAGCCUCUUCCCUGCUCUGAACUCUUGUGGGAGGAGAGGAGGGGCUGGGGGCUGGGAGGCUGAUCUGCCUGGACCUGGAGCUCUCCAAGUUAGGCUCAGCAGGGCCUCAGACGUCCCCCCAAACCCUGUCUUCUUUGCUCACAAAUUGUACAAUUGAGAAAACAGAGGAUCCUUGUCUCUCCGAGUCUGUCUCUGACCUGCCAAGUGACCUUGGAAGAGUCACCCAACCUCUCUGGGUAUGGAAGUUUUACAGUCCUGACACGUCCAGGAUCAACAACAGCAACAACGCAGCAUUUUACCUAAUUAUAACACUCUGUAAAUUACAAGUAUUCCUGUACUCCAGCUCUGAUGAUAAUAACCCACAAGGCUGCAGAAGAGACUUGGGGCCCCAUUUUGCUGAUGAUGAUACUAAGGCUCAGAGAGACAAGGUCACACAGAGUUUGGAACAGAGCUGGAGCCAGAACACAGAACUCCAGAACCAGGGUUCUUGCCUAAACUAGAGGGCUCACCAGGCUUAGGAAUAUAUAAAACCCUGAAAAAGCACAUGCACCGGGGUUAGGCCUGGCCCACCCCAGGACUCUCAGCGGCUCCGGGAUCCAGAAGGUGGAGGACUGCCCUUUACACUCUCCAGCCCAGACUCUGCUAUUCAGCUCUGGGGCCUCGCCUUUUGGAGCCUCGGCCUCUCUGCUCUGCCGUGGAGCCACAGAGACGGGCACCACAGACCAGGAGAGCCUGGUGCGGCGAGCACUCGUCAGCCUCUGGAACCAUGCACCAGGACAGGUCUGUGCUCCACUGUCUCCCCCGUGACUCUGGUUCUGGCCUCUGGGCCCAGUGGCUUCUGAUCAGCCCUCAGGUUAUCGGCGGAUACAACAUCUUCGUUUUGUAUGUGGUGCUGAGGAUCGAACCCUGGCCGCACGCAUGUGGAUAUGCCGGCCAGCACCAGGCGCCAGCACUGUGAACAUGCCAACUUGGAUGUUCUAUCCCAGUUGGGCCCCUGAUGACUGCACCCUCUAAGAUACUACACGGAGCAGAAGAACCACGGAAACCAGCCAGGCACAGAAUUGUGAGACAUAAUAAAAUAGGAUUUAUUUUAACUCACUAAA